rnacentral:snoRNA from 1 species
AAUUACUUAAUAGAGAAGUUUCUCUGAUUGCAUAGAGAACCAGAAACCACCAGGAGGAGGUGCAGUGUAAACAGACCCUUGGUGUUGCUUUGUUGCAACUGCCAUUUGCCGUUGAUAAUUAUUGCUCUCUCCUCUUAGGGAGAGUAAGAGGA